GCUCGGGAGCCCCGCCCAGGCGGCCCGGCCAGCCCGCGGCGACGCCAUUCACGGGGGAGGGCCCGGAAGGAGGUGGUGCUAGCCCUCGGGGGAGGGGGCCAGGCGGAAGGCGUGACCUCCCCCUCGGGGAAACUUGGAAAAUAGAGGGAAAGUGGAGGAAACACCCAGAGUUCCACUACUUGAACGUAAUUUUCCACGUUUGUUCAUUCUCUUCAGGGUUUGCGGCAGAGUUGUGCUCAGGGAGAAGCCGGGAAGGGGAGUCUGCAGAAGCAAAAGAAAGAAACAGACGUGCAAAGGGACCCAAAGGUGAGAGAGACUAAGAAAAUGGCCUCUUUGGUUUCUGCUGAGUUCCUGGUUCUGCCCCCUUGGUUCACUUUUGCCCUUAAGGUACCCCUAUAACUGUAUAAUAAAUGUUCAUUUUUUUUUCCUGUAAGCUAGUAGGCUUUUGAAACUUGGAAUUGAAAGGACUUUGGCUGUGGUGCUAGGUUCUGAGAGAUGAAAAAUGUUCUGUCACCAGUAAUGUGGGCAUUAAAAUAAAUAUUUGUAUGAAUAAACAUUUAGAAUUAGAUUAGAGGUGGGAGGCACUGCCUGAGGCCACCAAUACUAAGAUCAGCAAUAAAUAAAUUAACAGCCUAUAAAAAGGAAAAGUCCCUGUGGAAAGCAGAGCCAAGAACUCCUAAAAACUCAUCAGUCUGGGACCAUUUAGUUGACAGGCCAGCAGUGGCUGACCUCGGUGCACCUUAGGGUGUCAUUUGGUUAUAGCAUGGUAAGAAUGAUGUUUGUUACAAUGGCCUCAAGCCGCAAAAGGUCAAUCAGAUAAGUUCGGGAGUCUCUUCUGUGAAAAAAUGUUUAAACUUUCAAGCAUUUAAAGAUGUAGGAUUCACUUACUUGGCACAUAGACAUUGUGAAAUACGUCAUUGUAUAACAUAAUGAUAGAUACAUGUGGUCCAAAUGUUUAAUUAUAUAUACCUCCAGAAAUAGCACAUCCUCUAAAUAAAGAACAGCUUGGUAGCAAAAGUGAGGAGUAAUUUAUUUUAUAAUUUUGCUGUUGCUUUCUCCGUGGAGUCCUUGAGACUGAAGCUGCAUUGGAACAUAGAAGAAAAGAAAACCUGACUUAGCUAAGAGGCCGUGUGCUGAUCACAGAUAAUCCUCUGUGCUAUCUCCUAGAUCGGUGGAUCUCAACCCUAUCAGAUGCAAUGUCCCUUCAAAAAGAAAUAUUUUCUAAUAUCCUGUUAGGAGCCCUGAAAGAAAUUAAUAUGGAAUAUAAACUACCUACACUCCAUUAAAUGUGUAUGUAUAUGUAAAUGUGUGUAUAUAUACGUUUGGUUUGUGUUUUUGUAAUGAUUAAUGAUGUUGAGCUUUUCAUGUGUUUAUUGGCCAUUUGUACAU